rnacentral:lncRNA from 1 species
AUGCUGCCCCCCCCCAAAAAAACACAAAAUCCACCCCCAAAAUGCAGCCCCGCCAGCCCGUGGGAGUGUCAGAGAUCCAGGGAGCUGGGGAAGGAUGCUGCCCCCUCCAAAAAAAAUCCCCCCCGAAAUUCAACCCCACCAGCCCCACCAGCGCACCCGGCUGCUGAUGGUUCCCCCGGGGCUGUCGGAGCUCCAGGGAGCUGGGGGAGGAUGCGGGACACCCUACAGCCCCUAAUGGGGUGGGGGAUCCUCGGCAAGGUGUGGGGGGGGCUGCUCGCCCCACAGCCACGCUGCAGCUGGUGCUUUGGGUUUGGUGCUGACGUGGGAUGGCUCCGGCCUGCGCUUCUUGGGGGUACCCUGGCUAAGGGGGUGGUUUUGGGGUUCACGCAAUUCCCAGUGAACCCCAAGGCUCCGUCUCCCACCAGGCCCUGGGGGGGAAAUCUGACCCUACAGCCCCCCACGGGCUGCAGCCACCCUCCGACAGAAAACGUCCCCACCUCGGGGACAAGCCGGGCUGCCGGAAGAGCGCCGUGCCCUGCUGCUCCCCGUCCCGGCACGGAUUGUUCCCCGCUCUCCUGUUUUAGUCUCCUAACCCCUGUGAGGCAGCAGAGGCUUCCCCGGCGCUGCCCCCGCACCGCAGCAGCACCCACGGCCUGUGCGGGGAAAAGGGCGAAGGAGUUUUGGGGGGGAGCCGCCGAGCAUCGCCCCGUGCCCGAUUCCACCCGUGCAGGAGCCGCAGGAAGGACGAGGAGCAGGCCCGAGCCUGGUUUGGGUUAUUUCACGUGCUUAACGACCGAGGCGUUAAGCAGCGGUGUGUGGGGGGAGCCCCAGCACCCCGAUUCCAGGCAGGUUUUGGUGCUAACGGCACCCACGGGUGGGUGCGAGGGGGCUGCGGGGGUGUGCUGGGGAGCCUCGCUGCUGGGUCCUGCUCCCAGGGCACGCUUUGUCCUGCCGGGCUCUGCUCGGGCUCCCUGCAGGGGGUCUCAAAUGGCGGCAGGAUGGGGGUAA